rnacentral:rRNA from 1 species
AUUGAACGCUGGCGGCAGGCCUAACACAUGCAAGUCGAGCGGAUGAAGGGAGCUUGCUCCUGGAUUCAGCGGCGGACGGGUGAGUAAUGCCUAGGAAUCUGCCUGGUAGUGGGGGAUAACGUCCGGAAACGGGCGCUAAUACCGCAUACGUCCUGAGGGAGAAAGUGGGGGAUCUUCGGACCUCACGCUAUCAGAUGAGCCUAGGUCGGAUUAGCUAGUUGGUGGGGUAAAGGCCUACCAAGGCGACGAUCCGUAACUGGUCUGAGAGGAUGAUCAGUCACACUAGAGCUGGAACGCGGUCCAUACUCCUGCGGGAGGCAGCAGUGGGGAAUAUUGGACAGUGGGCGAAAACCUUGUCCAACCAUGCCGCGUGUGUGAAGGAGGUCUUCGGAUUGUAAAGCACUUUAAGUUGGGAGGAAGGGCAGUAAGUUAAUACCUUGCUGUUUUGACGUUACCAGCAGAAUAAGCACCGGCUAACUUCGUG